UUUUUUUUAUUUUAUUUUUUUUAAUGACUCCUUUCCAAAACCGAGGAGGAAUAGAAAGAGAAAGGAGAUGAAUGACGCAUUUGGCCUUGAAAGGGGUUUCAUCAACAGCCGGCCGUCGCUCGCCGAGUGCCUGACGUCCCCCCGCGACCGGGAUGGCUUCCGGGCGGCCUCCGCCGCCACGUCGACGCCGACGAGGGGCUCCGGAAGCCCGCAGCGCGCCGGGGCACCGUCCGCCGCGCGGUACCCGUGGAUGAGGGAGAAGAAAAGCCGCAAGAGGCUGCAGACUCCUGCGGGCUCGUCCCCGCUGCAAGUUUCAUCCGAGAUAACAAGCGACGGCGAAUGUCCCGCGGCGUCCUGCAGGAGGCUGAGGACGGCGUACAGCAACACGCAACUCCUGGAGCUGGAGAAGGAGUUCCACUUCAACAAGUACCUGUGCAGACCCAGACGGCUGGAGAUCGCCUCCUCGCUGGAUGUGAGCGAGAAGCAGGUGAAAGUGUGGUUCCAGAACCGCAGGAUGAAGCACAAACGCCAGACGCACCUCAAAGAGAACCGGCGGAGCCAAUUCGCGGAGGACUUUUGGGAGGAGGCGGAGGUGCUACAGGCCAGGGGGGAGAGGUGUUUCCAGCAAAAUAUUUUCAACUCGCAACUCUCCCCGUGCGGCCACAACGGAGACAAUGACUCGUCUUCGUGCACGGGUGGGAAAAAUGCCAAAUAUCCUUCCAAUUGCACUCGCUCGGCUCCCGUCUGGGGGUCUAGCAAAGGCCCGGACGACGAUCCGACCCCCGGCGCGCGCGGGGAUCGUUCCCCGGGCGCGGCCGUCUCUUUGCGGGAACUUUCCUCAGGCGCGUGCCCGUUCUCGCCAGGCUGGCCCAGUUCUGCUCAAAGUCCGCUGGCGUUAUCGCCUGAAACCUUGGAACUCUUCUCCGAAACGCUCACAACUAUGGAAGCCCAAAACUUCAACUAUUGAGACGCUUGACUUUCAUUUGCAAUUUGUGUUGAUAAUCAAGGAGAAUUCCUUGAUCAGUGAUACAAAGAAGUGAGAUUCGCCUGUUUGGAGGCGAGGAGGGCAAAAGCUACGACUUUUCUCGUCUCUCUAAUUAAAUUUUAUUGCCUAUAAAACUCACAACGGACUGGCCGUCCUGUAAAGAGUACGACAACAGCACAGCGCAGCUUGCUCAACGAGGUAAAAAAAAGACCUUUGGUUAUUGCUAUGAUUUAGAUGGAGACCAGACUCUAUUAUAUGAUCAAUUUAUGCAGCAGUUUAAGAAAUUGCCACGGGUUCACCUGCUGUUUUCUCCCACUGUAAACAACAACGAAUUUGAUGCAACACUUUUCUGUUCCCCGGUAAACUGCAACCACGAUAAUAAAGCAUCUCUCGUCUCAAUCGAUCAUCAAUUUUCUAGCACGAGAACGCCACACAGGAGGCCCCACAUUCAAAUACGGGGACUCCUCGAAUGGGAGGCGACCACGCUAACCGCCGUAAAACGGCAAUAAGAGACAUUGUUAAAUAAAUACGGUUCCGCUGCGAGUCAGUAGCGAGCACGUUUGUGGCUCGUGAAUGUCGACAGAAAAGGAGCGAAAUGACAAAUUCAACAAUGGCUGUUUCCCCCAAAAAAUUGUACUGUCAUAUCAGUUUGCAGUGGCAUCAUAUUUCAACUUGUUUCUCUGAUUUUGAUCCCCUCUCAUAAAGUUAAAGGGGUAACCGAAACAUGCAGGUAAA